AACAAGAGAACAAGGAGGAGGAGACCAAAGAGCCGCCGAUGGGGCGGGCUCUGGCUUCUGUGACCCCUCUGCAACAAGUGGCAGGAGCUGUAGGAGAGGAGGCAGAAGCAGCUGAAAGAUAGUCAGCCUCCUCCUCUUUUGCUUGUAGCAGGUGAAGGUCAGGGUUUUCCCAUCCCAGAAAAGGGCUGUGAGAAGAGUUUUACAAAGAAACCGUAUGAACAGUGAGUUCAAGUUACUGCUUAGCAUCCAACUUUCUUCCUCUUAAGUAGAAACUGUUGGGACUUUGGCCUCAGUCAAGAAAUCGCCGGCAAUGCCAACAUUGGUAAUAGCUAAUCAUAAUUCCAUGUUUAUAGUGCAUUAAGGAUUGCUGCAUCUUUUCCAGGAGGUAUUAAAUUUGACCCCGAGAGGUCGUCAGACAUAAGAAACCUCAUUGUGGACUUGCCCAGUUCUUCAGACUCCUGGUUAUUCUUGUGCUGUUUCUUCUCAAUGCCGUCCUCCCCUCUAGUGAUGAAUGACAUACGAGGACGGUUGAGCAGGUGUUUAGUGUCUGCAGUCGGCAUGUUGGAGCAUGACUCGAAGGAGGAAAUUUGAAUCUUUCAUUUCUUACAGAAGAGGGAAACCAAAGGUAUGAUAGAUUCCCACAGGGAAUGUGCACUCUCUCUCUCUCUCUCUCUCACACACACACACACACACACACACACACACACACACACAUCCUGUUUUGUUUUUUAAAAUUUCCUCUUCUAGGCACUUCUGAAAA
rnacentral:lncRNA from 1 species